rnacentral:tRNA from 1 species
GGGGCCGUAGCUCAGCUGGGAGAGCGGUACGUUCGCAACGUACAGGUCGGGAGUUCGAAUCUCCUCGGCUCCACAA